rnacentral:rRNA from 1 species
AUGAACGCUAGCUACAGGCUUAACACAUGCAAGUCGAGGGGCAGCAUGAACUUAGCUUGCUAAGUUUGAUGGCGACCGGCGCACGGGUGAGUAACACGUAUCCAACCUGCCGAUGACUCGGGGAUAGCCUUUCGAAAGAAAGAUUAAUACCCGAUGGCAUAGUUCUUCCGCAUGGUAGAACUAUUAAAGGAUUUCGGUCAUCGAUGGGGAUGCGUUCCAUUAGGUUGUUGGCGGGGUAACGGCCCACCAAGCCUUCGAUGGAUAGGGGUUCUGAGAGGAAGGUCCCCCACAUUGGAACUGAGACACGGUCCAAACUCCUACGGGAGGCAGCAGUGAGGAAUAUUGGUCAAUGGACGAGAGUCUGAACCAGCCAAGUAGCGUGAAGGAUGACUGCCCUAUGGGUUGUAAACUUCUUUUAUACGGGAAUAAAGUGAGGCACGUGUGCCUUUUUGUAUGUACCGUAUGAAUAAGGAUCGGCUAACUCCGUGCCAGCAGCCGCGGUAAUACGGAGGAUCCGAGCGUUAUCCGGAUUUAUUGGGUUUAAAGGGAGCGUAGGCGGACGCUUAAGUCAGUUGUGAAAGUUUGCGGCUCAACCGUAAAAUUGCAGUUGAUACUGGGUGUCUUGAGUACAGUAGAGGCAGGCGGAAUUCGUGGUGUAGCGGUGAAAUGCUUAGAUAUCACGAAGAACUCCGAUUGCGAAGGCAGCCUGCUGGACUGUAACUGACGCUGAUGCUCGAAAGUGUGGGUAUCAAACAGGAUUAGAUACCCUGGUAGUCCACACAGUAAACGAUGAAUACUCGCUGUUUGCGAUAUACAGUAAGCGGCCAAGCGAAAGCGUUAAGUAUUCCACCUGGGGAGUACGCCGGCAACGGUGAAACUCAAAGGAAUUGACGGGGGCCCGCACAAGCGGUGGAGCAUGUGGUUUAAUUCGAAGCAACGCGAAGAACCUUACCAGGUCUUGACAUCCGGAUAAAGACCUCAGAGAUGAGGGGAUAGAUAUAUCCGAGACAGGUGGUGCAUGGUUGUCGUCAGCUCGUGCCGUGAGGUGUCGGCUUAAGUGCCAUAACGAGCGCAACCCUUAUCGAUAGUUACCAUCAGGUGAUGCUGGGGACUCUGUCGAGACUGCCGUCGUAAGAUGUGAGGAAGGUGGGGAUGACGUCAAAUCAGCACGGCCCUUACGUCCGGGGCUACACACGUGUUACAAUGGGGGGUACAGAAGGCAGCUACACGGCGACGUGAUGCUAAUCCCGAAAGCCUCUCUCAGUUCGGAUUGGAGUCUGCAACCCGACUCCAUGAAGCUGGAUUCGCUAGUAAUCGCGCAUCAGCCACGGCGCGGUGAAUACGUUCCCGGGCCUUGUACACACCGCCCGUCAAGCCAUGAAAGCCGGGGGUACCUGAAGUGCGUAACCGCAAGGAGCGCCCUAGGGUAAAACUGGUGAUUGGGGCU